GCCGUGAUCGUCUAGUGGUUAGGACAUUGCGUUGUGGCCGCAAUAAAGGUUCGAAUCCUGGUCACGGCA
rnacentral:tRNA from 1 species